UUUCAAAGAACCCAUGGUGUGCAGCGGCUACAAAAAGCAGCCUCCUGGGUAGUGUAUGCAGCCUUUUGAUUAUAUGUCUGCCCUAAGGGACCCUGGAAACAACU
rnacentral:snoRNA from 1 species